rnacentral:rRNA from 1 species
CAGCCGCCGCGGUAAUACGGAGGGUGCAAGCGUUAAUCGGAAUUACUGGGCGUAAAGCGUGCGUAGGCGGUUCGUUAAGUCUGUUGUGAAAGCCCCGGGCUCAACCUGGGAAUGGCAAUGGAUACUGGCGAGCUAGAGUGUGUCAGAGGAUGGUGGAAUUCCCGGUGUAGCGGUGAAAUGCGUAGAGAUCGGGAGGAACACCUGUGGCGAAAGCGGCUCACUGGACCAUUACUGACGCUGAGGCACGAAAGCGUGGGGAUCAAACAGGAUUAGAUACCCGCGUAGUCCCUGUCUCUUAUAC